UGUGCUUAUCAAUAAUCGAUUGAUAAAAUCGUUUUUCUUAUCAGUACUAUUAAAAAUUCGUUUUGAUUUUAUUUUUAUGAAAUCGUUCCUCUCUAAUCUACUCUGGAAAAACCCCAAAAAAAUUGUGCUUGUUUUAUUUGUUUGUUAGAUCACGAAUCUCCACAACUCUCUAACCAAAUUGACUCGAACAUGGCGAUCUGAUCUCAUCACAAAACUUCAACCAGAGUUGAAAUAUUAAUUCUAAGAUGGAGAAAUACAAGUUAGACUAGUUACUAACAACUUUGUCUCGUCUUAUAAAUUGUAGUAGAUUUUGUUAGUUAUCCCGUUUACUUGAUCAAAUAACUAAAAACCGCUGAACUGGUUAUUGGUGGUUGUUUUCUGAAAAUACCACACGUAAGCAAAACAAUGUUUGCGAACAAGAGCCCUUACUUUCACUUUAAGACCAGCAUUAACCCUGGUUCUAAAGAAGGGUCUUAAGGUUUAAUUGGGGUUAAAAUAAAUGAAAAAUAAAAAUUAUCUUAAGAGUUGGAUUUUAAUUAAGAGGAGGAAGAAGCUGAUCUUGUGGGACACGUGGUAGAAGAAUGGGCGUUUGGUUCUCUCUUUUCUCUCUCCCGAGCGAUGAAACUUCAACGACCACAGUUCAUUCCACCUCUUCCAUCUCCAUCGAUUGAUUUCUCUUCCACGAUUCAUCACCAUCAGUCCGUUGAUCUCCUCCACGAUCGAAGACUACGGCUCUCUCUGUCCGCUCUCUCUCUCUCCGUCGAUGCGAUUGACGAAGAAUCACGCCGGUUCUCGAUCGAAGACUCCGACUCUCUCUCUCUUGGUGCUCUCUUGUCGAUGGGGAAAAACGAUGACGUCUCUCUCGGUGGUUCUCCCCCAGGAAGAAUCACGACGUCUCUCUCGGCGGCUCUGACUGAGGGAGAAUGACUCCGCGUUUGAUUUAUUCCUCGGUUGAUCACAAUCACUCCGCCUCUAAAGCUAAGUUCUUUGGUUUCUAGGUUUAAAUCCUUCAAUUCGUGCAUGCAUUAGCUUUGUUUGUUGUGUUGCAUGUUGUGUUCUGUAGGUCUGUGUCUCAAAGAAAUGAUAAACCCUUUUUGAUUAAGUAAAACAAAUACGCUCUUUGUUUAUAUGUUUGUUGUGUUGGUUGCAUUUUUGGUUGAAUGUUAUAGAUAUUACUUGUGUCUGUCGAUUAUGUCCGGUGAGUGAUUAUGUCCGGUGAGUAAUUCUUUGAUUCUAUUUGUUUGGUUUCAGUGUUUGUGUGUUAAUAUUGACUGAUCAAGAGCAUGGAUCAAUAGACAUGAGGACUGAUCAAGAGUGUGGAUCAAGAGACAACUGCAAUACAUGUCAAAAAAGCGUUAAAGUGUGUAGCAUUGGGAGGUCACGGAGAGCUCACAGUCACAGACUUGUCUUAAUUUUCUUGUCUGGUUCACAUGUUCUUUACUGUUUGUCUUGGUCUUGUAUUCUUCUGCAAAGAAAGGUCACAGACUUGUAUAGGGUUUGUCAGUUUGUAUGCAUCAGUCACGGGUUUGUCUGGUUCUCAUGUUUUAUGAGUCUAUAUAGACAUUGUAAAAUGAAAGUGUAUUCGUAAGAAGCUUUUCUUUUCUUUGAUCAACAUUGUGUUCUCUCUUCCUCUCCUCCUCUAAAUAUUCAUAUAAAUCAAAACAAACAUUAUCAAAUUUUUGAUAUCUUUUCCUCUCCCCUUCUCUAAAUAAUCAUAUAAGUCAAGAAAAAACCAUUUGUUCUCUCUUCCUCUCUACUUCGCUCAACACCAAAUUUUCUUAUAAAGAUUUUUCUUUGACUUCUUCUACACAAGUCUAUCUCAUCUUAAAGUCGAUAGACUAUCUCAUGGCAUCUUCUUCUCAAAACCCAUUUGACGAGUCACUUGAUGAGACUUUUGAUCAAUACUUUGAUCAAUAUUUUGAUCAAACUUUCAAAAAUUUAACCAUUGGUAAUCAAGAAGAAGAAAAGAAAAAAAGAAAAAAAAAAGAGUUUAUAUCGAAAGAAAUCGUGAAGAAGG